CUUCCAUAAUUUCUAGAACGUAUUUUUCUUCUUCCAAACCAAAGUUAGUUUGUGAUUCUCAGGAUCCAUUCCUUCUUCUUCCAUAAGAUCUAGCUUCGGAUUUUGAUUCUUCCAAAAUUCUCUACAACGGAUUUUGAAGUGGGUAAGGAGAAUCAGUAUUCAUUCCUUCUUCUUCCCUAAGAUCUAGCUUGGGAUUUUGAUUCUUCCAUAUUUCUCUACAACGGAUUUUGAAGCGGGUAAGGAGAAUUUAGGUUUGAUUAAUGUGUGAUUAUUAGUAUCCAUUCCUUCUUCUUUCAAAGCGGGUACCUUUGUGUUGGUGAUAGAAACGACGAUGUGGUGGUGGUUGAUGGUGACGUUGUAGCCAUCAGAGAAGCAAUUAGUAGAGAGACAAAAUAUUGUUGUAUUGUUUAGAAUGAAUUGAAGUUUGGAUGAUUUUUUGAAGUGAAAAAGGAAAGAUGAAAUUGAAAUGGGUAUAACAAAAUGCAGAGAAUGGUUUUCUCCUAUGUAACCAAAAAAAAUGAAGAGAAUGGUUUGUAAUUGUUGUGUGUUUGUUGAUAUGAAAAUAAAUGGGAGAGUAAAGA
rnacentral:lncRNA from 1 species